AUCAUCUAGAAGUUGGCACAGGUUCAGGGGGGUGCAUCAGAGGAAGAGAUUUAGGCUUAAGGUUCCAAGCAUGAGGAGGCUCCUGAGAAGGAAUGUUAAGCUGGUUUGUGCUGCUUAUGAUGAAGUGAUGAAGAGACUUAAAAACGUCGAGCUUAUUUUGGUGAUCUUUGGGCUGGAAAAUGUCUGUUCUUGCAGGUGAAUUCCAAAUUUCCAAUUCAUUGAAGUGUUUUGAGAAAGCACGCGAUAGAACAACAGGCUUGCCUCCAAGCUACUCUUUGCAAGAAUUGGUUAAUUAUUCGACUUAGAAAUAGUAUGAUUACUUCUAAUUUUCUUUAUGUAUAAUAGAUGAUGCACAUGGUUCGUAGGCCCUUUUCCUUCUGGUUAUUUUAGGAUAGUCGGAGUGUAUGAACAUAAAAUUCCUGAUUGGUGUUAACUGCAAGGGAAUCCAAUUUACAAUUUUGCAAUGAUACAUCAUCAAUUAGCCUUGCUAUUUAUUAAUGAAACAAAAGAUUGGAAUUCCUAAUGCUG
rnacentral:misc_RNA from 1 species